CGAACGUUACCGCCGCGCGACUCUGAGCGCGACGGACCGAGCCGGAGCGACUGAUACGCUUCUAUCUGCGAGCUGAAAGCGGCUUUUUUAUUAAAGGGGCGGCGGGGACUGUGCGGUCUGCGAAGGGGGAUUUGGGCGCUGAUUGUUAUUACCGCGCAGGAAGAGACAGGCUGCGGAAAGUGCAACCAUUAUAUCACUGAAUCUUUGUUAAGCAGGCCUCGGAAAGGCCUGACAGCAUAAUUAAUCUUGUGAUAUGAACAAAGAAACCAACUCAAUAGUACUGAAGACGCUUAUUAAAAAUACUAAAUACCUCUUUCUGCUUAAGAAGAAAGCCCUUUGAUACAGUGGGAAGGAUGGCACCAGGAGGGAAUAUAAUUCAAGCUGCUGUAAGACACAGGCCAUCCUUGACCAAGAUGGCCACCAUGUCUGCUUUGGGACCGUGGUGAUCUGUGAGGUGGGGUCUCUGUGGCUUCAUCGACUGACCGGUUAGCAUGAAAGGGAUCCUGGUUGAGGCGCCAAUUCCCUGCUUGCUGAGUGAUGUCACAAUGGGGGAGGGGGGACAAGACAAUGAGGCGCAACAGAACCCAGAAAGCCAUUUUGCUAGAUGGGAGAUGCAGCUCCAUCCAUCCGCCAUCUUGUGACUUCAUGGAGAUUUUAAUUUGAUCUGUUGUUUGGUAUGGAAUACAUUUCUGUUCUUAAGAAAAGGAAUCUAAAUUUAGAAGCUGAACUGACCGAUUAAUGGAUGGAUGAAGGUCGUUCAAUCAGUCUCAGUCAGUCGUCAUCGAUAUAUCAGUUCAAUGGCUAAAUAAAGACUCUGUAUAUAACCUUUUAGCAAACAUCUCUGCUGUUUAGCUGCUCUUGUGUUUUUUUAUGUGUUGAAUCAUACCUUCUGUUAAUGAAAGUUUAAUGACAAAAAUUCUGGCAUUUGGUAUAUUAACAUCAGGAUUAAAUAAUAUUACUUAGAUAAGUAAAUUAGUAUGUUCAACUAUGAAUUGAAAGGAAAAUAAACAAUUCUGACCAGAAUAAGUGUUUAGAAGAUGGAUGGAUGAAUGGAUAAGUGACAUUUUCAGAUGCUUAAAGAUGUUUUUAGAGAAGAAAAGUGGGAACUGUGAAGCACACCUGGGUGGGGCGGGGGGGCACGUCAGAGCUACGACACAGAGGGAUGAAGAUGGAUGCUGCGCUGCUGCAGGUCUUCCCAGCAGAAGAUGAAGAGGUAUUCUGGGAUAUGAACUGGAACCAGACUCAAGUAGAGAAUCUUAUAAAGAAACUGGGCUAAAGUCCUAUGAGUCAGGUGAAAAGCAAUGUCAAACGAACUGAAAUUGGAGGACCGCAAACAAAAGCCAAACUCACAGUCAACAUGAAGAUCACCUAUAACACAAAUGAGCCAUCAGAAAGGCUCAACCAGGAAGUAACCACAGCUGUCUGACCUUGUGACCUUCUCAGUUCACGACAAGGUCGUGGGAGGACAACCCCAACCGUGUUGGGCCUGAAUUGGGACGGCCACCCCCUGCUGCCUGGCAGGGUUUUGUGACAGUGCUUCAGAGAAUGGUCCCAGUAUGUGGUGACAACUAACAAAGCUGGAGGUAUUUCAGGCCCCCGGAGUCUCCCACACUUUUCAAAAUCUGCUGGCUCAGGGGAGACCUACAGUUGCACAGUCUGACAACAAGACUGAGUGAGAACUGCAGUCUAAGGGGUCACAAAGUGGGUCUAAGCAGAGCUCUGGCUCGAGCCUGGUAUCUGAAGGAGAGUCAGAUUCUGUCAGGCCGGUUCCCCUCAGAGAACAGACCUGGGAUGCAGUGCAAGUCAGCGUACAAACACGUCCGCUAGAACAAAUCAAGAAAUAAAAGCAACCUUUAGAUCUUGCACUGAUCUUACCAUAGCAUGUUCCUG